rfam:Chlorocebus sabaeus isolate 1994-021 chromosome 20, whole genome shotgun sequence.
GCCGGGCGCGGUGGCUCAAGCCUGUAAUCCCAGCUACUCAGGAGGCUGAGGCAGGAGAAUCGCUUGAGCCCGGGAGGCAGAGGUUGCAUUGAGCCAAGCCCACAACACUGCACUCCAGCCUGGUGACAGAGUGAGACUCCCUCUCAAAAAAAAAAAAAAAAAAAAAAAAAAAAAAAAAAAAAANNNNNNNNNNUUUUUUUUUUUUUUUUUUUUUUUUUUUUUUUUUUUUUUGAGAGGGAGUCUCACUCUGUCACCAGGCUGGAGUGCAGUGUUGUGGGCUUGGCUCAAUGCAACCUCUGCCUCCCGGGCUCAAGCGAUUCUCCUGCCUCAG